rnacentral:lncRNA from 1 species
AGGGAUGCCUCUGUGUCAGCAUCGCAGGAGUCGUAUAAGGCACACUCGAGCUAGCUUUCAGCCAGAUUUCAGCUCCAAGCAGUUGAUUGAAGUGUUCAGUCACCUGGACCGUAACUAAAGAACACAGGAUAUUUGUCACAGACAAGAAUGUAAUCACUUUCCACAUGGAGGGACAGGUUAAGAGAGAGCAAGCUGCACAUGACAAAUGCCGGUGACAUUGCUGAAUGCAGGACCGGAAGAUGCUUGGCUGCUGGAAUGAUGAGGCAAGAUAAGAACAAGAAUAGGACAAAGUAAUAAUUGUGGACUGGAUGGCCACAUCUCUUUCCCCUUAUUUCCUGCUGUGUUAUACUGGAACCUGGAGACCUCGACCAUAAUCAGCCACCCAUUGUUGCUGGGCGCUACACAGACACAGUGACACCACUCAGACAGCCUGAAGUCUAAGUAGACUAGACAGAUAAAUGCCAGGGGGGAAAAAACAUCAGGUACGGGAGAGGAGAAAGUGAAUUGCCCAAGGUCAUGCAGAAGGUCAGUGGCAGAGCCACAGCUAGGGUCUCCUGUUUCCCAGGCCAGUGCUGUACAUCCUGGGCAGGGCUGUCUCCCUCAAAACUCAUCUCCCAUUGACUAUUUUUCCCCUUAGGCCCAGAACUGGAAAGAAAAUGGGGUUGCAUCCUAUUCUUCCAUCUUUGUGCAGCUCAGACCUGCAGGCCUGACUGUAUUAGCUAGCCAAUCAGAUUUCAUUAUGAGCUGAAGUAAUGCUUAUCAUUAAACCUGUAAUUUA